rnacentral:tRNA from 1 species
AGUAUAGUCAGCUAAGUAAAGCUUUCGGGCCCAUACCCCGGGAAUGUAGGUUAGAGCCCUAUCUAUACUA